rnacentral:rRNA from 1 species
CGGGUUAGUGGCCGACGGGUGAGUAACGCGUGAGAAUCUGCCCUCAGGAGGGGGAUAACGGCUGGAAACGGCCGCUAAUACCCCAUAUGCCGCGAGGUGAAAUGAAUUUCGCCUGAGGAUGAGCUCGCGUCUGAUUAGCUAGUUGGUGGGGUAAAGGCCUACCAAGGCAUCGAUCAGUAGCUGGUCUGAGAGGAUGAUCAGCCACACUGGAACUGAGACACGGUCCAGACUCC